AGGCAUCUGUCACGAGAGCGAGCGGCGC
rnacentral:sRNA from 1 species